rnacentral:rRNA from 1 species
AGUGAACGCUGGCGGUAGACCUAACACAUGCAAGUCGAACGGCAGCACAGUAAGAGCUUGCUCUUACGGGUGGCGAGUGGCGGACGGGUGAGGAAUACAUCGGAAUCUACUUUUUCGUGGGGGAUAACGUAGGGAAACUUACGCUAAUACCGCAUACGACCUACGGGUGAAAGCAGGGGAUCUUCGGACCUUGCGCGAUUGAAUGAGCCGAUGUCGGAUUAGCUAGUUGGCGGGGUAAAGGCCCACCAAGGCGACGAUCCGUAGCUGGUCUGAGAGGAUGAUCAGCCACACUGGAACUGAGACACGGUCCAGACUCCUAUGGGAGGCAGCAGUGGGGAAUAUUGGGCAAUGGGCGCAAGCCUGAUCCAGCCAUACCGCGUGGGUGAAGAAGGCCUUCGGGUUGUAAAGCCCUUUUGUUGGGAAAGAAAAGCAGCAGGUUAAUACCCCGCUGUUCUGACGGUACCCAAAGAAUAAGCACCGGCUAACUUCGUG